AGGGGAUGGGGUUAGGGAAAGGUUCUACACCAGAGGGCAGCACGCAUGGAACGGCCUCAAGCUGCUGGAGUUUGAGGAACAUUUGAACAACACUCAGACAUAGGGUUUGAACUUUAGGUGAUUUGAGUGUGGAAGAUGGAGCUGGACUCAAUGAUUCUUGUGUGUCCCUUCCAACUUGGGAUAUUCUAUCGCUGAACACCUGUAAGUGCCAGCAUCUCAGGGAGAUGUUACUGUAAUUAAACAGAUGGAAACCUAGACCACGUUAUAUGGUCUAGCAUAAUGAGGGUAUAUGUUCAGUGGUAGAAGAAGACCUGGGAAUGUCCCUUUCGUUCCCUUUCUGAUAUCCAGUGACUUACACCAAGCAUUGCAGUUCAGCUAAAUAAUAUGAAAGAAUUAAUAAAUAUCUCUGAGAUUCUCUGUAUUCCAGUAGAGGACCCUACUAUUUACUGACCAAUGUAGCAAUCUGCCACCUCUUAGGAAGAAAGCCUUAUUCGCAUACCAAUUUGUCUUGUUUCCUACAAAGACUAUUGGAAUGGAGAAGGGAAAGAAAAGACUAGUAAAUAAAAGCAGCAUUAUUCAUGGAAUAUCCUUUUAUGUUGGAGCAAGAGGGCUGUUCUAAAAAUUAAUGGUCAUCUCCUUCCUGCUUGUCAAAAGAUGCAAUCUGCGCUAAAAGGAGUCUCACUUGCCUGCCUUAGGACAUACAUUUCUCAAACGUGGGUGCAAUUCAAAUACUACAGUUCAAGCCAGCUGCUGGUCCUAAUAUCAAGUUCCUGUUGACAAACAAUACGAAUCAUGGCACUUUUGUGUGACUGAGUUGAUAUUCAACACAGAAACACUCCUCCACAGAGUCACAAGACAGACUUGAAAUUAAAAUAAUUUUCAAAGCAAAUUGUAGGUGAAAAACAAAAGGAGAUAAGAUUGAAAAUUGGAAGUAAUGGGAAAAUAAAGAUGAGGUGUUAGUGCUACCUAAUUGUUUUCAUUUUUUCAUAAUAAAAAUGAUUAUCUCU
rnacentral:lncRNA from 1 species